rnacentral:rRNA from 1 species
GUAGGAGGCAAGCGUUAUCCGGAUUCACUGGGCGUAAAGCGCGUGCAGGUGGUUCGGUAAGUUAGGCGUGAAAUCUCCCGGCUCAACUGGGAGAGGUCGUCUAAUACUACCGAACUUGAGAGCAGAAGAGGAAGAUGGAAUUCCCGGUGUAGUGGUGAAAUGCGUAGAUAUCGGGAGGAACACCAGUGGCGAAGGCGAUCUUCUGGUCUGUUUCUGACACUCAGACGCGACAGCUAGGGUAGUAAACGGGAUUAGAGACCCCGGUAAUCCUAGCCGUAAACGAUGUGAACUUGGCGUUGGUGGGUUAAACUCCAUCAGUGCCGUAGCAAACGCGAUAAGUUCACCGCCUGGGGACUACGGCCGCAAGGUUA